AUUGAACGCUGGCGGCAGGCCUAACACAUGCAAGUCGAGCGGGGUUUUCGGACCUAGCGGCGGACGGGUGAGUAAUGCGUAGGAAGCUGCCCGAUAGAGGGGGAUACCAGUUGGAAACGACUGUUAAUACCGCAUAAUGUCUACGGACCAAAGUGUGGGACCUUCGGGCCACAUGCUAUCGGAUGCGCCUACGUGGGAUUAGCUAGUUGGUGAGGUAAUGGCUCACCAAGGCGACGAUCUCUAGCUGGUUUGAGAGGAUGAUCAGCCACACUGGAACUGAGACACGGUCCAGACUCCUACGGGAGGCAGCAGUGGGGAAUAUUGGACAAUGGGCGCAAGCCUGAUCCAGCCAUGCCGCGUGUGUGAAGAAGGCCUUUGGGUUGUAAAGCACUUUCAGCGAGGAGGAAGGGGUAGUAGUUAAUAGCUGCUACUUUUGACGUUACUCGCAGAAGAAGCACCGGCUAACUCUGUGCCAGCAGCCGCGGUAACAC
rnacentral:rRNA from 1 species